rnacentral:rRNA from 1 species
UGGGGAAUAUUGCACAAUGGGCGCAAGCCUGAUGCAGCCAUGCCGCGUGUGUGAAGAAGGCCUUCGGGUUGUAAAGCACUUUCAGCGGGGAGGAAGGCGUUAAGGUUAAUAACCUUGGCGAUUGACGUUACCCACAGAAGAAGCACCGGCUAACUCCGUGCCAGCAGCCGCGGUAAUACGGAGGGUGCAAGCGUUAAUCGGAAUUACUGGGCGUAAAGCGCACGCAGGCGGUCUGUCAAGUCGGAUGUGAAAUCCCCGGGCUCAACCUGGGAACUGCAUUCGAAACUGGCAGGCUAGAGUCUUGUAGAGGGGGGUAGAAUUCCAGGUGUAGCGGUGAAAUGCGUAGAGAUCUGGAGGAAUACCGGUGGCGAAGGCGGCCCCCUGGACAAAGACUGACGCUCAGGUGCGAAAGCGUGGGGAGCAAACAGG